rnacentral:rRNA from 1 species
GAGCUCAAAUUUAUAAUCUGGCACCUUCGGUGUCCGAGUUGUAAUCUCUAGAAAUGUUUUCCGCGUUGGACCGCACACAAGUCUGUUGGAAUACAGCGGCAUAGUGGUGAGACCCCCGUAUAUGGUGCGGACGCCCAGCGCUUUGUGAUACAUUUUCGAAGAGUCGAGUUGUUUGGGAAUGCAGCUCAAAUUGGGUGGUAAAUUCCAUCUAAAGCUAAAUAUUGGCGAGAGACCGAUAGCGAACAAGUACCGUGAGGGAAAGAUGAAAAGCACUUUGGAAAGAGAGUUAACAGUACGUGAAAUUGUUGGAAGGGAAACGCUUGAAGUCAGACUUGCUUGCCGAGCAAUCGGUUUGCAGGCCAGCAUCAGUUUUCCGGGAUGGAUAAUGGUAGAGAGAAGGUAGCAGUUUCGGCUGUGUUAUAGCUCUCUGCUGGAUACAUCUUGGGGGACUGAGGAACGCAGUGUGCCUUUGGCGGGGGUUUCGACCUCUUCACACUUAGGAUGCUGGUGGAAUGGCUUUAAACGACCCGUCUUGA